rnacentral:rRNA from 1 species
CCUACGGGCGGCAGCAGUGAGGAAUAUUGGUCAAUGGACGAGAGUCUGAACCAGCCAAGUAGCGUGAAGGAUGACUGCCCUAUGGGUUGUAAACUUCUUUUAUAUGGGAAUAAAAUGUUCCACGUGUGGGAUUUUGUAUGUACCAUAUGAAUAAGGAUCGGCUAACUCCGUGCCAGCAGCCGCGGUAAUACGGAGGAUCCGAGCGUUAUCCGGAUUUAUUGGGUUUAAAGGGAGCGUAGGUGGAUUGUUAAGUCAGUUGUGAAAGUUUGCGGCUCAACCGUAAAAUUGCAGUUGAAACUGGCAGUCUUGAGUACGGUAGAGGUGGGCGGAAUUCGUGGUGUAGCGGUGAAAUGCUUAGAUAUCACGAAGAACUCCGAUUGCGAAGGCAGCUCACUGGGCUGCUACUGACGCUGAGGCACGAAAGUGUGGGGAUCAAACAGGAUUAGAUACCCUGGUAGUC